rnacentral:rRNA from 1 species
UAANUNAAAAUUUGAGAGAGAGUUCAAGAGUACGUGAAACUGCUCAGAGGUAAACGGGUGGAACCUCGAAAUCCCGGGGCGAGAGGAUUCAACGUCCGUCGUCGGGGAGCGCAAUCGACAGGCGUGUGGCACGGGCCUAGCGGAGUUCGGUCUGCGUCUCGCUCGGCGUCUGGCGUGCAGUUGACUCCCGCCCUGAAAUGGGGCCCCGCGACCGGUCGGAGCAAAGAGAGAAGAAGGGUAGUGCAGGACAGAGUGGCAGAUUCACGGGCCAGGCCUUCCUCGAGUGGGUCAUGUCCGUGGACCGAGCCGUCCGGAAUUGAUACCCUCGCCCGACCGCGGUCGGACAAAUGAACUAUGCACACAAACUCCUCGUUCCAGCCGCGGGGAGACCGUCUGUCUGUCUUUCAAAGCACGGGUCCGUUCGCACCGAAGUUCGGUGGUCGGCCCGGGCCGAGAAGCGAAUAGUACGAACCAAGCGCAGAGGACGAGGAGGUCUGCGGGGAGUAGGUCGGUCAUCCACCCGACCCGUCUUGAAACACGGACCAAGGAGUCUAACAUGUGCGCGAGUCGCCGGGACUUGUACAGGCCCGGAGGCGAAGUGAAAGCGAUGGUGCAUAUUACGAAAGCCGUGAUCCCCCGAUUAAAGUUCGGGGGCGCAGCGGCGGCCCGUCUUGCGCGCCGAGGCGUGCGGGCGGAGUCUGAGCGCACACGUUGGUACCCGAAAGAUGGUGAACUAUGCACGGCCAGGAUGAAGCCAGAGGAAACUCUGAUGAAGGUCCGAAGCGGUUCUGACGUGCAAAUCGAUCGUCAGAGUUCUGUAUAGGGCAAAAAAAAAAAAUNAUAAAA